GAUGAACGCUGGCGGCGUGCUUAACACAUGCAAGUCGAACGAUUAAAGCCCCUUCGGGGGUGUAUAAAGUGGCGAACGGGUGAGUAACACGUGGGCAAUCUGCCCCUCACUUCGGGAUAACUCAGGGAAACUUGAGCUAAUACCGAAUACUCCGAGUUGAUCGCAUGAUCGACUCGGGAAAGCUCCGACGGUGAGGGAUGAGCCCGCGGCCCAUUAGCUUGUUGGUGAGGUAACGGCUCACCAAGGCAACGAUGGGUAGCCGAGCUGAGAGGCUGAUCGGCCACACUGGGACUGAGACACGGCCCAGACUCCUACGGGAGGCUG
rnacentral:rRNA from 1 species